GACAGAGGGUGCGAACGUUGUUCGGAAUUACUGGGCGUAAAGCGCGCGUAGGCGGAUCGCUAAGUCAGGGGUGAAAUCCCAGGGCUCAACCCUGGAACUGCCUUUGAUACUGACGAUCUGGAGAUCGGGAGAGGUUGGUGGAAUUCCGAGUGUAGAGGUGAAAUUCGUAGAUAUUCGGAGGAACACCAGAAGCGAAGGCGGCCAACUGGCCCGAUACUGACGCUGAGGCGCGAAAGCGUGGGGAGCAAACAGG
rnacentral:rRNA from 1 species